GAUGAACGCUGGCGGCGUGCCUAAUACAUGCAAGUCGAGCGAACGGACGAGAAGCUUGCUUCUCUGAUGUUAGCGGCGGACGGGUGAGUAACACGUGGAUAACCUACCUAUAAGACUGGGAUAACUUCGGGAAACCGGAGCUAAUACCGGAUAAUAUUUUGAACCGCAUGGUUCAAAAGUGAAAGACGGUCUUGCUGUCACUUAUAGAUGGAUCCGCGCUGCAUUAGCUAGUUGGUAAGGUAACGGCUUACCAAGGCAACGAUGCAUAGCCGACCUGAGAGGGUGAUCGGCCACACUGGAACUGAGACACGGUCCAGACUCCUACGGGAGGCAGCAGUAGGGAAUCUUCCGCAAUGGGCGAAAGCCUGACGGAGCAACGCCGCGUGAGUGAUGAAGGUCUUCGGAUCGUAAAACUCUGUUAUUAGGGAAGAACAUAUGUGUAAGUAACUGUGCACAUCUUGACGGUACCUAAUCAGAAAGCCACGGCUAACUACGUGCCAGCAGCCGCGGUAAUACGUAGGUGGCAAGCGUUAUCCGGAAUUAUUGGGUGUAAAGCGCGCGUAGGCGGUUUUUUAAGUCUGAUGUGAAAGCCCACGGCUCAACCGUGGAGGGUCAUUGGAAACUGGAAAACUUGAGUGCAGAAGAGGAAAGUGGAAUUCCAUGUGUAGCGGUGAAAUGCGCAGAGAUAUGGAGGAACACCAGUGGCGAAGGCGACUUUCUGGUCUGUAACUGACGCUGAUGUGCGAAAGCGUGGGGAUCAAACAGGAUUAGAUACCCUGGUAGUCCACGCCGUAAACGAUGAGUGCUAAGUGUUAGGGGGUUUCCGCCCCUUAGUGCUGCAGCUAACGCAUUAAGCACUCCGCCUGGGGAGUACGACCGCAAGGUUGAAACUCAAAGGAAUUGACGGGGACCCGCACAAGCGGUGGAGCAUGUGGUUUAAUUCGAAGCAACGCGAAGAACCUUACCAAAUCUUGACAUCCUUUGACAACUCUAGAGAUAGAGCUUUCCCCUUCGGGGGACAAAGUGACAGGUGGUGCAUGGUUGUCGUCAGCUCGUGUCGUGAGAUGUUGGGUUAAGUCCCGCAACGAGCGCAACCCUUAAGCUUAGUUGCCAUCAUUAAGUUGGGCACUCUAAGUUGACUGCCGGUGACAAACCGGAGGAAGGUGGGGAUGACGUCAAAUCAUCAUGCCCCUUAUGAUUUGGGCUACACACGUGCUACAAUGGACAAUACAAAGGGCAGCGAAACCGCGAGGUCAAGCAAAUCCCAUAAAGUUGUUCUCAGUUCGGAUUGUAGUCUGCAACUCGACUACAUGAAGCUGGAAUCGCUAGUAAUCGUAGAUCAGCAUGCUACGGUGAAUACGUUCCCGGGUCU
rnacentral:rRNA from 1 species